GUCCUGACUUUACUAUCAGCUUUAACCCAAUUUAUACAUGCAAGUCUCCGCACCCCUGUGAGAAUGCCCUCAAUCCCCUGCCCGGGGACGAGGAGCAGGCAUCAGGCACAUCCUCUACAGAUCGCGCCCAAGACGCCUUGCUACGCCACUCCCCCAAGGGAACUCAGCAGUAAUAGACAUUAAGCCAUAAGUGCAAACUUGACUUAGUUAGGGUUAUUAGGGCCGGUAAAAUUCGUGCCAGCCACCGCGGUUAUACGAAAGACCCUAGUUGCUAGCCACGGCGUAAAGGGUGGUUAAGGACAACAACAAAUAAAGCUAAAGAUCCCCUAAGCCGUCAUACGCAUUCCGGGGGCACGAAGCCCUAACACGAAAGUAGCUUUAAAAAAUAUACCUGACCCCACGAAAGCUAAGAAACAAACUGGGAUUAGAUACCCCACUAUGCUUAGCCUUAAACCCAGAUGUAUCCUUACACACACAUCCGCCCGGGUACUACGAGCAUAGCUUAAAACCCAAAGGACUUGGCGGUGUCUCAGACCCACCUAGAGGAGCCUGUUCUAUAACCGAUAA
rnacentral:rRNA from 1 species